UCGGUGGGGAUUAGUGGCGAACGGGUGAGUAACACGUGGGCAAUCUGCCCUGCACUCUGGGACAAGCCCUGGAAACGGGGUCUAAUACCGGAUACUGAGCUGCCAAGGCGUCUUGGGGGGUCGAAAGCUCCGGCGGUGCACGAUGAGCCCGCGGCCUAUCACCUUGUUGGUGAGGUAAUGGCUCACCAAGGCGACGACAGGUAGCCGGCCUGAGAGGGCGACCGGCCACACUGGGACUGAGACACGGCCCACACUCCUACGGGAGGCAGCAGUGGGGAAUAUUGCACAAUGGGCGAAAGCCUGAUGCACCGACGCCGCGUGAGGGAUGACGGCCUUCGGGUUGUAAACCUCUUUCAGCAGGGAAGAAGCGAAAGUGACGGUACCUGCAGAAGAAGCGCCGGCUAACUACGUGCCAGCAGCCGCGGUAAUACGUAGGGCGCAAGCGUUGUCCGGAAUUAUUGGGCGUAAAGAGCUCGUAGGCGGCUUGUCGCGUCGGUUGUGAAAGCCCGGGGCUUAACCCCGGGUCUGCAGUCGAUACGGGCAGGCUAGAGUUCGCUAGGGGAGAUCGGAAUUCCUGGUGUAGCGGUGAAAUGCGCACAUAUCAGGAGGAACACCGGUGGCGAAGGCGGAUCUCUGGGCCGAUACUGACACUCAGAAGCGAAAGCGUGGGGAGCGAACAGGAUUAGAUACCCUGGUAGUCCACGCCGUAAACGGUGGGCACUAGGUGUGGGCAACAUUCCACGUUGUCCGUGCCGCAGCUAACGCAUUAAGUGCCCCGCCUGGGGAGUACGGCCGCAAGGCUAAAACUCAAAGGAAUUGACGGGGGCCCGCACAAGCGGCGGAGCAUGUGGCUUAAUUCGACGCAACGCGAAGAACCUUACCAAGGCUUGACAUACACCGGAAAGCAUCAGAGAUGGUGCCCCCCUUGUGGUCGGUGUACAGGUGGUGCAUGGCUGUCGUCAGCUCGUGUCGUGAGAUGUUGGGUUAAGUCCCGCAACGAGCGCAACCCUUGUCCCGUGUUGCCAGCAACUCUUCGGAGGUUGGGGACUCACGGGAGACCGCCGGGGUCAACUCGGAGGAAGGUGGGGACGACGUCAAGUCAUCAUGCCCCUUAUGUCUUGGGCUGCACACGUGCUACAAUGGCCGGUACAAUGAGCUGCGAUACCGCAAGGUGGAGCGAAUCUCAAAAAGCCGGUCUCAGUUCGGAUUGGGGUCUGCAACUCGACCCCAUGAAGUCGGAGUCGCUAGUAAUCGCAGAUCAGCAUUGCUGCGGUGAAUACGUUCCCGGGCCUUGUACACACCGCCCGUCACGUCACGAAAGUCGGUAACACCCGAAGCCGGUGGCCCAACCCCUUGUGGGAGGGAGCUGUCCAAGGUGGGACUGGCGAUUGGGACCAAUCGUCGUAA
rnacentral:rRNA from 1 species